rnacentral:lncRNA from 1 species
GGGGACCUGGGCAACGGCGCCAGCGCGGGGCUGAGGGCCCUAGUCUGCUGUCAGGAAAGCUAAGGAAGAGGAACAUGUGACACCACCAAAGAGCUGCAUCCCCUGAGAGGACGCUACCAAUUAUAUUUCCAGAGGGCUCAUGAAACAGUGACUUCCAUUUAUGCAAGGACAUUUCUAUUUAACUGUGACAGGCUUCAACUGAGAAGUUACUCUUGCUCUGUGUUCUGUACCCAGGCUCAGGACAGUCAUCCUUCAGAACGCACAACUGCCGUGACUGGUCUAACACAAGGAUGAAGGACAAGCGUCUUUAAAAAAUAUGCAAGCAGGAGAGCCAUCGCUGUGCCACUUUGUCACAUUGUCUCCGAUUAUUAAAAGAAGAUCAGGCUGUCACGCUGCCCCUCCCGGCAAUCCUGCGAGCAUUUUGGGAGAACUCACAUACAUUCUGGAGCAGGCAGUGGGAGCGGGGACCUGCUGAUGACCCAGCAGUAAUGUCUGAAAACACUAUGCCUAACUUGAGCUGUUGGAAAAUAUUAUCUGACAUCUUCUUGCGAUGGAAUAACUUCAUGUUUCUUUUUUUUUAAGUUGAAAAGGAAUCAAGUAUCUAAGACCAUUUUUAGCUAGCUGUUCAGCUGGCUUCUCUCCUCCAAUCUUACACUUUAAAAAAUAACUUUAAAGUAGCGUUGGCAUUAACUUAUAUUUGCUCAUAAUAAAAACCAACGAAAUUUC